UCCAGGCAAAUCCGGAUAAUCAAGGCUGAGGUGUGAUGACGAGGCACUACGGUGCUGAAGUAACAAAUGCCCUGCUUCCAGGAAAAGCCUCUAAGCAUCAGGUAACAUCAAAUCGUACCCCAAACCGACACAGGUGGUCAGGUAGAGAAUACCAAGGCGCUUGAGAGAACUCGGGUGAAGGAACUAGGCAAAAUGGUGCCGUAACUUCGGGAGAAGGCAC
rnacentral:rRNA from 1 species